UCAACUUAGAACUUUAAAAUAAGCCCGUUACAUAUUACAUAAUUAACGGCCUUUUUCAAAAUUUCAUCUUCGGCAUUCUUGUUUGAUUCCUGUUUUAAUUCCUGUUUUCUAGGUUACGUCAUCAACAGGACUUCUAAGGUGUGAAAUGAUUGGUUUUUUCAUCCGCCAAUCAUCUGCUCACAAACGUGAAUUUCUUGCAGACGUUCGUAUUUUGAAGUCUUUUGGUUCACCCAUCAUUUAUUUAUCAUUUUCUUCAUUGGUUUGAUUGUUCACGGCAUGCAGUAAGUUGGAAAAAUAACAUCGACUUGUUACUCUGUGCAACAUCUUCUUUUGAUCUAGUCCCCAGGCUCUUCUCUUGCAAUAGCUCGUACACAUUAAUCUUUUUUUAGAGGUUUAAUACGUCGACAGACAAAUGUUAAGGAUCACGAUCCUGAAUUUUGUCAAUUAUCACCAAAAUGUAAAAUUGAUCCUCAUUUUGAGUCCGCAGGACCACAGGUCAGCAAAUCUGUUGUUUAAAUCAACAUGGAAACGUAUCAAAUAGAGAUAUUUUCUUAUUUUAGUCGCGGAAGUGGAUAGUAGCUCCGUUUGUCAUUAUAUUUCAUUGAAAGAUUCAUUCGUUUUCUUAUAUCUUUACAAACUGUCACUGUAACCAAGAUUGUGAAACAUCCAUCAAAUGUUAUUGAAAUUCAAAUGAAGAAAUUUGGGUUUUCAUAUUUACCUGCUCAGUAUGUGUUUCUUCAAUGUCCAAAAUAUUCUCAUUAGGAAUGGCAUCCAUUUACUUUAACCUCCGU